ensembl:lncRNA
ACAAAAAGAGGAGUUUGGGCAGUUUACAUGUCAGGAGGAUUCAGGUGGAGUUGUGGGCUGUUGCUUCCUCAAGGACUCACCUGCAAGCUGAGUGUUCUUUCUUUCCUGCACCUGCUUUAUCCAGUUGGCUCUGCAAUCUGCCUGAAGACUGAGUGUACCUGCGGAGACUAAUGUUACCCUGACGAGUUUAAUGUCUUGGCCAAACAGCCACACUCUCCUGCGCGCACAAGACCUGAGCCUGCUCCAGUUCUUUCAUGACCUCAUCAAAUCCUGCCUACCAAAGGCUUCACUCUUCCUUGGCCACUGCUGAUCUUUCUUUUCCAUUGGAAACUCCACCCCACUCUUGUAGGGGGCGGGGCCAGCCUGCCUUCUAGCUUUAUUUGUGCUUUGACCUUUUAUUUUUUCUAUCCCCCAUUUAUAUUUUUUUUUUUC